rnacentral:lncRNA from 1 species
CUGUGGGGAGAUAGGUAAGGUCAUGGAAAUGGUGCUAGGACCAGCCAGCCACGUCCCUCCUCUAAAACAACAUAAAUAAAAUAGUGUGGCAAAGGGACAGAUUAAACAGCACGAAGGAUUCGUCACCCUGUAAAAGGAAAAUGGCACUUUGAAUAGAAAAGUGUGAGCACAUAUCAUGUUUCUUACCUCAGCUUUAGCACCGCAUCACAUCUUUCCUCGCCAACCCGUUUCAGGCAGUUCGGGAAGUGGCAUGACAAAUCUUUCCAGCUUCUGGUCUCUCAACCAUGACAUAAUCAUCAUUGAUUUUGGAAUCCCUUUUUAACAUUAUCCUCGCACAUAACACACAAGCAGGCUUUGAAGGCUUAACCAACACACCGCCCUCCAUUCUAACAGCACUUCCUCCCUCAAUCGUGCAUGUAUGUUCAUAUUUACAAAGCUCUGAAAUAUGAUUUUUCAGAUUAUUAGCCAAUAUAGAAUAUACCCUUUUGAUAUGUAAACAUACAGCCCCACCUUUUCUUCUAUGUUUACAGAAUAGAUUGGGAUAUCUAUCAACCACCUCCUCUGCUACAUAAAUGUGGCUGACACCACAUUAAAGUGUAAGCUUCCAAAUUUAUAGUUCUGCUUCUCCUCCAUGCUCAUGUGGCCAGUCGACUCUACGUUUGCAUUAAAGCUUUUUCCUUAAUC